GGGCUGUUAGCUCAGUUGGUAGAGCAGUUGACUCUUAAUCAAUAGGUCCAAGGUUCGAAUCCUUGACAGCCCACCA
rnacentral:tRNA from 178 species